AUGUGUAAAGAGUUUGAGGAUUUUGAUGAUGUUGUUUAUAGAUCUGAAAAUUUAGCUAUCCUCAAAUAUUGCUAUGAGAAUUAUAAAUACAAUUAUGAAAUUAAUGCACUUAUUAAGAAAGUCUCCGCUGUCCAAGAAGAGACUAAUAUUUUGCAGGAAGCUAUGGAAGAAGAAAUUGAUGAAAUUGUGAGCUCAUUGGAUGAAAAAGAUGAUGAGGAGAGCGAAGAACAAAAGGAGGAAGAGUGGAUUGAUCACCCGUGCCCACCUUCUAAUGAGAGUAACUCUUCAACUCAUACAUUGUUUAAUUCCCCUUCGUGCUUACCGAAGGAUGAUUGCUAUGAUCCCUUGAAUUAUUUUGAAAUAUUCCUUUUUGAUGAUACUUGUGGCCAAGAUGCCAAUAUGAAUUAUGCUUAUGGAGAUGAACUUGCUAUAGUUCCUUAUGUUAUGAAUGAAAUUGUUGUUAUUGCACCCACGCAUAAUAGUCCUAUUAUCUUUUUGAAUUCUCCCGACUACACUAUAUCGGAGAAGCUUGCACUUAUUAAGGAUUAUAUUGAUGGGUUGCCUUUUACCAUUGCACAUGAUGAUUUUGAUGAAUAUAAUAUGCAUGUGCUUGCUGCUCCUACUUGCAAUUAUUAUGAGAGAGGAACUAUAUCUCCACCUCUCUAUGUUUCCCACACGAUAAAAUUGCAAGAAACUGUUUAUACUAUGCAUUGGCCUUUACUAUGUGUGCAUGAAUUGUUCUUUUAUGACAUGCCGAUGCAUAGGAAGAGAGUUAGACUUCGUCAUUACAUGAUUUAUGUUACUUUGUGCUCACUGCUAAAUUACAAAUCAUUGUUAAUUAAAAUUGGCUUUGAUAUACCUUGGGAUCCGGGUGGAUUCAUUACUUGA
rnacentral:rRNA from 1 species